rnacentral:misc_RNA from 1 species
UGUCUGGGCACACCUCAUCC